rnacentral:rRNA from 1 species
GAUGAACGCUGGCGGCAGGCCUAAUACCUGCAAGUCGAGCGAACGGACGAGAAGCAUGAUUCUCUGAUGUUUGCGGGGGACGGGAGAGUAACACGUGGCUACCCGACCUUUACGACUGGGAUAAAUUCGGGAAACCGGGGCUAAUACCGGAUAAUAUUUUGAACGGAAGGGUUCAAAAGGGAAAGACGGUCUUGCUGUCACUUAUAGAUGGAUCAGCUCUGCAUUAUCUAGUUGGUAAGGUAACGACUUACCAAGGCAACGAUGCAUAGCCGACCUGAGAGUGUGACUGGCCACACUGGAACUGAGACACGGUCCCGACUCCUACGGGAGGCAGCAGUAGGGAAUCUUCCGCAAUGGGCGAAAGCCUGACGGAGCAACGCCGCGGGAGUGAUGAAGGUCUUCCGAUCGUAAAACUCUGUUAUUAGGGAAGAACAUAUGUGUAAGUAACUGUGCACAUCUUGACGGUACCUAAUCAGAAAGCCACGGCUAACUACGUG